GUCCCGGUGGCUCAGUGGUAGAGCUCCUGUAUAUAGUGAGCAAUAACUGUAGAAGGUCGCAGGUUCGAAUCCUGCUCGGUGGCU